rnacentral:ncRNA from 1 species
UCUUAGUUUGGCGUUUAUGCCUUGCUAGGGCCACACGCAUCUUGCUUAUGCCUGAAACCAAGAAAAUCCUGAAGGAUUUUGGAGAAAGGUAUCAAAUGCAAAAGCAACAUUAAGUACUAAUGAGGGAACCGAAAGUGAGCUGAAGGAAAUAUGAAGCUUUGGUGAUUUUACUUUAGAGUAGGAUGCUACAUAGU